rnacentral:rRNA from 1 species
CUACGGGUGGCAGCAGUAAGGAAUAUUGCGCAAUGGAGGCAACUCUGACGCAGCCAUGCCGCGUGCAGGAAGAAGGCCUUAUGGGUCGUAAACUGCUUUUAUUUAGGAAUAAACCCCCGAACGUGUUCGGGGCUGAAGGUACUAAACGAAUAAGCACCGGCUAACUCCGUGCCAGCAGCCGCGGUAAUACGGAGGGUGCAAGCGUUAUCCGGAUUUAUUGGGUUUAAAGGGUGCGCAGGCGGGCUAUUAAGUCAGUGGUGAAAUCCCGGGGCUCAACUCCGGAACUGCCAUUGAUACUGAUAGUCUUGAGUUUGGUUGAAGUGGGCGGAAUGUAGCAUGUAGCGGUGAAAUGCAUAGAUAUGCUACAGAACACCAAUCGCGAAGGCAGCCCACUAAGCCAAAACUGACGCUCAUGCACGAAAGCGUGGGGAUCAAACAGGAUUAGAUACCCUAGUAGUC